CUUCAGGAGCCGUCUGUUGGAAGUGCGUGUGAGAGACCAAGGCAGGGCAACCAGAAAGAAAAUGAUGAUCAUCAGCGUCUGUAUCUGGACACUCAUUCUUUUUGCUCAAGAAACUGCAGGACAAAUUUCUGUGACUCAGACUCCCUCAGUAGCAGCUGUUCAGCCAGGAGAAACAGUUACUAUAAACUGUCAAACUAGCAGAGGAAUCAGAGAACAUUCAUGGGGUUGUGGUGGCUGUUUCUCCUGGUACCUGCAGAAACCUGGAGAAGCUCCUAAACUCCUCAUUUAUGGCAUUAGCUCACGACAGUCAGGAACUCCAUCUAGA